rnacentral:rRNA from 1 species
AUGAGUUUUGUGCGGCGAAUCCAGGAGUCUGAGGUCAAGGAGGCUUUAAAAAGGAUGAAAGGAGGCAAGGCGAUGGGCCCUAAUUGUAUCCCCAUUGAGGUGUGGAAAGGUCUCGGGGACAUAGCGAUAGUAUGGCUAACCAAGCUUUUCAACCUCAUUUUUCGGGCAAACAAGAUGCCAGAAGAAUGGAGACGGAGUAUGUUAGUACCAAUCUUCAAGAACAAGGGGGAUGUUCAGAGUUGUACUAAUUACCGUGGAAUUAAGCUGAUGAGCCAUACAAUGAAGCUAUGGGAGAGAGUCAUUGAGCACCGCUUAAGAAGAAUGAAAAGCGUGACCAAAAAUCAGUUUGGUUUCAUGCCUGGGAGGUCGACUAUGGAAGCCAUUUUCUUGGUACGACAACUUAUGGAGAGAUAUAGGGAGCAAAAGAAGGACUUGCAUAUGGUGUUCAUUGACUUGAAGAAGGCCUAUGAUAAGAUACCGCGGAAUGUCAUGUGGUGGGCCUUGGAGAAACACAAAGUCCCAGCAAAGUACAUUACCCUCAUCAAGGACAUGUACAAUAAUGUUGUGACAAGUGUUCGAACAAGUGAUGUCGACACUGAUGACUUCUCGAUUAAGAUAGGACUGCAUCAGGGGUCAGCUAUGAACCCUUAUCGUUUUGCAUUGGUGAUGGAUGAGGUCACAAGGGAUAUACAAGGAGAUAUCCCAUGGUGUAUGCUCUUUGCAGAUGAUGUUGUGCUAGUUGACGAUAGUCGGACGGGGGUAAAUAGGAAGUUAGAGUUAUGGAGACAAACCUUGGAAUCGAAAGGGUUUAGGCUUAGUAGAACUAAAACCGAGUACAUGAUGUGCGGUUUCAGUACUAGGUGUGAGGAGGAGGAGGUUAGCCUUGAUGGCCAGGUGGUACCUUAG